rnacentral:rRNA from 1 species
AUUGAACGCUGGCGGCAGGCUUAACACAUGCAAGUCGAGCGGAGAUGAGGUGCUUGCACCUUAUCUUAGCGGCGGACGGGUGAGUAAUGCUUAGGAAUCUGCCUAUUAGUGGGGGACAACAUUCCGAAAGGAAUGCUAAUACCGCAUACGUCCUACGGGAGAAAGUAGGGGAUCUUCGGACCUUGCGCUAAUAGAUGAGCCUAAGUCGGAUUAGCUAGUUGGUGGGGUAAAGGCCUACCAAGGCGACGAUCUGUAGCGGGUCUGAGAGGAUGAUCCGCCACACUGGGACUGAGACACGGCCCAGACUCCUACGGGAGGCAGCAGUGGGGAAUAUUGGACAAUGGGGGGAACCCUGAUCCAGCCAUGCCGCGUGUGUGAAGAAGGCCUUAUGGUUGUAAAGCACUUUAAGCGAGGAGGAGGCUACUGAGACUAAUACUCUUGGAUAGUGGACGUUACUCGCAGAAUAAGCACCGGCUAACUCUGUGCCAGCAGCCGCCGUAA